rnacentral:rRNA from 1 species
AACGAACGAGACUUUAACCUGCUAAAUAGUACGCCCGCAAUAUUAUGUGGAAUCCCGCUUAGGGGCUUCGGCCUCUCUGCGGGCCCACGUAAGCAGGUGAGACUUCUUAGAGGGACUGGUGUCCUACAAGGCGCACGAGAAAGAGCAAUAACAGGUCUGUGAUGCCCUAAGAUGUUCGGGGCCGCACGCGUGCUACAAUGACGAUGCUAAUGAGUUUGAUAUUCUGGCUCGGAAGGGUCGGGCAAACUUGUUAAUCAUCGUCGUGUCUGGGAUUGGGGUUUGUAAUUAUCCCCCAUGAACCAGGAAUUCCUAGUAAGUACAAGUCAUAAGCUUGUGCUGAUUACGUCCCUGCCCUUUGUACACACCGCCCGUCGCUACUACCGAUUGAACGGUUUAGCAAGGUCAUUGGAUCGGCUCUCAUGCGGCGCUUGUCGCUGAGGACUGAAAAGAUGACCGAACUUGAUCGUUUAGAGGAAGUACAAGUCGUAACAAGGUUUCCGUAGGUGAACCUGCGGAAGGAUCACUAUGUAUUAUACC